AGGAUCUUGGACUGCUGCACCGUCCGUGCUUCAGUUGAAUGCGGAAUCGUUUUUUGUUGCUCGUUGCCGUCUGUGGGUGUUCUGGGCGGAUGAGUGUUCUGCUUGCGGCCCUUCAUAUUGUUAUUUUCUGGAAGUUUGAGUGACGCUCCGUCGCAAUCUGGUUGCGGAAGUGAAGCGCUUUCGUUCGUCAGGUGGCGUUUAGAUUUGUGGGACUACCAAUCGUCCGGGUCAACGUUACCAGAAUAGCAGACGCCGGACAGGAACCACCCGGCCGUUAUCGGGAGCAGGUGCUUCUCCCUGGCUUGAAGUCAGGUAAGGUUCUCCCAUUCAGUCCCCAACAUUUCACUGAAUGUCUGCGCUGAGUUCUAGUAGUAGGGAUAUCACCGUAUUUUUUUCUUUCGUAGUAAACCAAGAAAACUGUUUGUUUUCGGGAAGAACUAUAGUACAGGAGAUAGCACAGAAAAUUUGGAUGAAAAAUCUUGAAGGAUACCAUAGAUAUGAGGCGUCAAAGUCAUACGCCAACCUUCAUCAUGAUGUAUGCGGAAUGCCAUACUACUGUGGCACCAACAGGGUUUUCCGGAAAGCCUAGCAAAUGCUUAGCAACAUUACAAUAUUGUCAGAAUGCUAUGAAAUCUGGCUUGUAGGUGCAAUAUAGGUGUAAUAUAGGUGCAAUACAGGUUGGUUAGUCCUAAUAUUGACCAAAAUAUAAUAUUUCGGCAAGCGAUGACCAAUGAGAACGAGCGCGGCGACCGUAGCAACCACCAUAGCAACAAUGCUAAAUCCAUUGAACACGAGUCCCAUUACUAUGAAAUUGAAGUGAGCACUGAUGGCUAUGGUUGUAUUAUACAUGUACAAAUAAUAAAUACAGCAGUUUGGUCUUCAGAUGCCCAACUUUACUGCGGCUGUCACACAGUUGAUCAAUCAUGUACAUGUACAUUUUACAUGUAAAAUGCACAAUAGUGAAAUAUGCGUACAAUCCAAUCACUGACGCGAUCCAUGUCAGAGCACCACUCCAUAGCAAUUUCUUUCUGGUUUCAAGGCGACGAGUCGAAUACAAAAUCAUAGCUCACUUUGUCGCAAUAGCGAAAGUCUCCGUCAGGUGCAAUCUUUCACUAGGGCCAACAAAUCAUCUGAAACACUCCUAGCGCUUGAACAUAUUGGGUCCAGAAAUUCAUUCCUUUUGGGCGACCAGGAGGUGAAAGUCUUGAAAGCGCGAUGAAGAGCGAUCCCCCAGCUCGAGAAGAAAGCACUAUUCUACAUAAUUCGAGGUCGCUGAACACGAUGGUGGGUGUUUCCUGGCCGUGUACUCCCUCCAAACGGAUGAAAAAUCCAAUUGAAAACUACACUCCUCACAACAAAAAGCUCAAACUACAGUUGCCCAAGCAAGUGCGGCACCAAAACGAGCAGGAAGACCUCAGCUAUCAAACGCACCAACUUUCAACUUUGAAAAGAAAGCAGGACAAAGCAAUUCGACAAAAACUGCAGCGAAGUCCAUGGUGCCACCGCUACCAUGCUAAUGUACGUGACCCGCGUGAAGGCUGUUUUCAGCUGAUUUGUCACGUGACUGAACUCCCUACUAGUAGUACAGCAGCCCUAACCCAUAACCAUGGUAACGAUUUAUUGGAAAAGGUUUCUGCUGAUGUACAGUACUCCGUGUCGUGUGCUCACAUUUGUCCGCAUGCUAUUGUAUUGUUCGUAGUGAAGCGCAGCAACGGCAACUUAAACGAGAAGGUAUUUCGGCUGCUGCAAUAUCCCCUCACUCUCAAUCCGUGUGCUUUACAAGCAGAGAAAAUUAGUCGAUGAAUAAUUUCGUCAAAUUCCAAAGGAAGGACUUCUUCCAAUCGGAAACGGUGACCAUUCAGCAGAAAAACAAAAUUUCACAUGUACAUGGUUAUGGCUCAUGAGUGCACAAUUAGUUACAGGGCUGCCACACUUGGAGGGAGAAAAUCUGACGGGGUGCCGGGGUGUCCCCCGCUUGGGGGCAGGGGGCACGGCCCUCUUGGUGAAAAUAUUUAGGAAAAUGGCUUGCUGUUGGGGCCCCAGAACACAUUUGUAACUGUGCAGCACACGUGCUACAACCAUGUCAAUUAUGAAUAAAUGGCCAACUGGACUAAAAAGCGCUCAAAAUAUAAUAAUCGGUUGUCCCUCUUUGCGGAACAAAAUCGGUCGCUUUGUCGGACAGGCGAUCAAAAAUCGGAGUAAGUGGCAGCCCUAAGUUAUAUUCAUUGCCAUUUUACGACUAUUGUCUCCUCGUAGGUUAUUGAAAUACUUUGAUCCGAUCUCUUUGUCAUUUUAGGGGGAAAUCCCUAUCUGUGUGCUCUUUGACCAACUGAGCACAUGAUAAUGACGUUGUUGGCUGAGGUUUGAAUCGCCUCGAAAAGAGCUUUCUGUGAUAGAGGAGAGUGGAAUGGCAUUGAUGGUGGAAUUUACUCGCAUAUUUGGCUUGGGGUGGACUUUGCUGUAAUCCCGCGCCUGAUUUGUGGCAGCUAGUUGAUGGAGUCUGGUAUGCUGGCGUUGCUCUCACCCGGAGCUUUCCAAAGAGCCUAAGAUUGUGGAAAUGCAGUGAAAGAGGUCAAAGUUGUAGCCUGUUGAAGGUGUAAAGUGUGCAGAAAAUAUAAAUUCUGUUUCAUUCUGUGCUGGAAAUCAGUACAUAAAGGGAUAUUUAUUUAUUUUUGCUUCGUUUUGUUUCCCUACCAUGGCUGGCUGCCGCCCCUCCCUCCAUAUUGGCCUAUAUUCUCUGGCCACGGGAAGGUGAAUAAAUAACUGAUGCAACAUGCAUGGUGUGCGACAAUACCAUACCAGUAAAGAAGCUGGUCAAAUAGUGAAAUAGGGCUUUCAACGCAAGGAUCAUAACGUGAAGCAAGUUGGUAGGAUGAGUAUGUAUGCGAAGUGUAUGGAAGGAAUGCAUGCAAGGAGAAAGUUCAUGUUCCAAUACCACGUUAUGUGUGCGAACAAUUGGAAAAAUGAAGAAAAAAACCCGAUAAGCUAGCACCACAGCAUAAUAAUAAUUACUCCGUAAAAUGUACCUGACCUGUCAGUGUGUGUUCAGGAUCAAACCCCGUGUUAUGUAUGAAAAAAUGACAAAAAUGAAAAUCUAGCACCAUACACCCUAACUACUCGAUUCAGCCUCUGGGAAAUCCAGAUAAAUAAUAAUUGGUUUACAAAUCAAUUGGCUGGAAAGCCCAGUGCCCUCCCUAUGCUUUGCUUUCACCUAGGCCAUCAUGCUUCUUACUUCAGUUUCCUAAUCAUCAAUUUCUAUAAAACUGAUAGAAACGUCUUUUCAAUAUGAUUAUCAAGUACAUCUUCAUGUAUGUUUUUUGCGAAGACGUUUCUAUUAGUUGCACAGAAAAAGAGGAUUUCUUAUGGUAUGCAAGCUCCACUGCACAGCACAGCACUCCACAGCAAACGCGACGCAGCUCACCAGAUCAAGGUGUGGGUCCUCUUCCGGUGCCGAAAGGCGGGCUCACACCCCUACAUAGCUACUUCCCAUUGUCUAACCCCCACCAAAAAAACAUUGUUGGGCUUGGUGUGGGCUGUGCAGUAUUUCCGUUGGUACCUGCUUGGUAGAAAAUUUGAAUUUGUUAUAUGCACAGCGACCAUUCUCUGGAACAUUUGGCUAACUUUCAACAUCCACCGGCGAUUGUGGCUCGCUGGCUGGAAUUUUUGUCUGAAUGUGAGUUCACCAUAUUGUACAGGGCAGGUCGAUCACACGCUAACGCUGGCAACAUCCCCACACCCCUCAUCCGCCGUUUCAACUGGCCGUGGUCAAGAUGGGAAACGGAACAGGAGAAGGACCGAGAUCUCGCCCAAGUAGUGUCCUGGCUAGGUAUGGACUCUCCGCCUUGCCCGCAGGACAUGAUGGGUAGCAGUCCUGAGUGUUUGCUUUCUGCUUGGCAUAGAUAAGACCAGGACAACUACGUACCAUCCACAGAGUGACGGUCUGCUUGAAAGAUUCAACCAGACGCUUGAGCGUGGCCUGGCGCACUAUGUCUGCAGGAAUCAUCGCGAUUGGGCCAUCAAGUUGCCAGCCUUCUUGAUGGGAUACCGCUCGUUGCCGCAGACUAGUACCGGCUACAGUCCAAGCUAUCUACUCUUUGGUCAAGAGUUAUGCCUACCUCAAGACUUGGCAUCUGGAUUACCGCCAGGAGCAGCAUCCGCAGUAUCGUCACAGCCGGAAUUUGUGAGUGCUCUCCGCCGACGCCUGGAGGACGCUCAUGCACAGGUCCGGGAACACCUGGGCAACGUGCACCGUUAUCAAGCGCAUAUCCGUGAUCGCUACGCUAAGGCCUUGACGUUUGCAGCAGGUUACGCAGUGUGGCUUCUGGUGUCAACUAUACCGACGGGUACAACCGCCAAGUUUGCUAGACUUUGGGACGGACCGUACCUAGUCGAGGAGAAGCUCUCAGCCGUCACCUACCGCAUCAAACUAUCUGAGCCCACGGCACGUCGGCUGAUAGUGCAUGUCAACCGGCUGAAAAGUUGCCAUCAUCGACCGAGUCGGCUGCAGGAGGUUCACGAGCAAGAUGAGUCGGACCCACCGCAGCCCAUGGCAUCCACCCUGACUCCGUCCUACCAGCCUGAUGCCACUGAUACCGCCGCCCGAGACGAGGGGGACACCGCUCGGGUAUUUGGCAGUGCUCCGCCAGUUGGCGUGAUGGAAAGGCGAACUCCGCGUUCCCGCCAUCCGCCCCAGCUGUUUGGGAGUCCUGUGUGGCACGAGUAAGUGACUUCAGUGGUAUUGACUGGAUUUGUGGUGUUCGAUAUUACAGUUAGUCUUUGAACAGAUUUUGAUAAGAACUCCAAUUUGACCUGCACUCGUUUAGUUUAAUUGUUAGCCAUAAUCUUAGUCUAAUUUAUAACGUUACUUAUAACACGAGGACGUGUUCUUUUCCGUGUAAGCGGGGGGAUAUGUCGUAUCCAUACUAUUGACACGUGCCUUGUAGGCCUCUACGUGACAAGUCUGCCUUAUUUAGGUGUCUAAUUAUUUAUCUAUCUCCCAUAAACAUAAUCGUCUUUAUUUUAUGUCUUCACGCAAGGCCUGGGGCCUUCCUUAUUUGGUAUACGCUGUUAUUUCCCCACCUAGCUCCCGCUCUUUAUGCAACAGUUUGUACACAUAUUUACUACGGUUUGAUACGCUAUUGCAUGCGGGACCAGCAAUCUGGUGGCCAUGGACUUCCAUGGCCGCAGUUGGAUAGUAUUGCCAUCACCUUCCUUUUCUCUCUAUCUGUCUUGCCUUGUGCUCUUCAUUAUCUUCUCUUGAACUAAGUUACAUGUACCCUGCUGUGAAGAUGUGAGUAAACCUGAA